CCUUGACAAAAAGACAAAAAACGCAUCAUAAGAUGGGGCUCAGGAAGCAGAAAGAAGAGUGUUUUGUCACAAACGUUAAAUCAAUGCUAUGUUUUAUUUUGAAAACAGGAAAUGUUAUGUAAUUUGUCAGGUGACAGGAACCAGGAAGUGAAUGAAGAAUAUGGCUCAGAACUGCUGUUUGUAUUGGUAGCUUUUAAAUCCAGUUGAGUCUGCCUGCAUCCUAUACCUUUUUGAUAGCAUCGUUGUUUUACACUUUCUCUCAUGUCAAUAAACCUGUGGACAACGGACCAUUGUCUUCAGAGUCGUGAUGUCAGAAAAGAGUUCGUCUAACUGCCAAGGUGUAUCGGAGCGCAUAUACCGAGGGCGGCAUA